rnacentral:rRNA from 1 species
ACGGCUCAGUAACACGUGGACAACCUGCCCUUAGGUUGGGUAUAAACCCGGGAAACUGGGUAUAAUACCCGAUAGGUCUCGAUUGCUGGAAUGCAUCGAGAUUUAAAGCUCCGGCGCCUAAGGAUGGGUCUGCGGCCUAUCAGGUAGUAGUGGGUGUAGCGUACCUACUAGCCUACGACGGGUACGGGUUGUGAGAGCAAGAGCCCGGAGAUGGAUUCUGAGACACGAAUCCAGGCCCUACGGGGUGCAGCAGGCGCGAAAACUUUACAAUGCUGGCAACAGCGAUAAGGGAACCUCGAGUGCCAGGUUACAAAUCUGGCUGUCGAGAUGCCUAAAAAGCAUUUCAUAGCAAGGGCCGGGCAAGACCGGUGCCAGCCGCCGCGGUAACACCGGCGGCUCGAGUGGUAACCGUUAUUAUUGGGUCUAAAGGGUCUGUAGCCGGCCGGAUAAGCCUCUUGAGAAAUCUGGCAGCUUAACUGUCAGGCUUUCAGGAGAUACUGUCUGGCUCGAGGCCGGGAGAGGUGAGAGGUACUUCAGGGGUAGGGGUGAAAUCUUGUAAUCCUUGAAGGACCACCAGUGGCGAAGGCGUCUCACCAGAACGGACCUGACGGCAAGGGACGAGAGCUAGGGGCACGAACCGGAUUAGAUACCCGGGUAGUCCUAGCCGUAAACGAUACUCGCUAGGUGUCGGCCACGGUGCGACCGUUGUCGGUGCCGUAGGGAAGCCGUGAAGCGAGCCACCUGGGAAGUACGGCCGCAAGGCUGAAACUUAAAGGAAUUGGCGGGGGAGCAC